CCUACGGGAGGCAGCAGUGAGGAAUAUUGGUCAAUGGACGAGAGUCUGAACCAGCCAAGUAGCGUGAAGGAUGACUGCCCUAUGGGUUGUAAACUUCUUUUAUACAGGAAUAAAACGAGGCACGUGUGCCUUUUUGCAUGUACUUUAUGAAUAAGGAUCGGCUAACUCUGUGCCAGCAGCCGCGGUCGUACGGAGGAUCCGAGCGUUAUCCGGAUUUAUUGGGUUUAAAGGGUGCGUAGAUGGGUUGUUAAGUCAGUUGUGAAAGUGUGCGGCUCAAACGUAAAAUUGCAAUUGAUACUGGCAGGCGUGAGUACAGUUGAGGUAGGCGGAAUGCGUGGUGUAGCGGUGAAAUGCUUAGAUAUCACGAAGAACCCCGAUUGCGAAGGCAGCUUACUAAACUGUGACUGACAUUGAUGCUCGAAAGUGUGGGUAUCAAACAGGAUUAGAUACCCCAGUAGUC
rnacentral:rRNA from 1 species